rnacentral:rRNA from 1 species
AGUGAACGCUGGCGGUAGGCCUAACACAUGCAAGUCGAACGGCAGCACAGUAAGAGCUUGCUCUUACGGGUGGCGAGUGGCGGACGGGUGAGGAAUACAUCGGAAUCUACUUUUUCGUGGGGGGGGACGUAGGGAAAAUUACGCUAAUACCGCAUACGACCUACGGGUGAAAGCAGGGGAUCUUCGGACCUUGCGCGAUUGAAUGAGCCGAUGUCGGAUUAGCUAGUUGGCGGGGUAAAGGCCCACCAAGGCGACGAUCCGUAGCUGGUCUGAGAGGAUGAUCGGCCACACUGGAACUGAGACACGGUCCAGGCUCCUACGGGAGGCAGCAGUGGGGAAUAUUAGGCAAUGGGCGCAAGCCUGAUCCAGCCAUACCGCGUGGGUGAAGAAGGCCUUCGGGUUGUAAAGCCCUUUUGUUGGGAAAGAAAAGCAGCAGGUUAAUACCCCGCUGUUCUGACGGUACCCAAAGAAUAAGCACCGGCUAACUUCGUG